rnacentral:rRNA from 1 species
CAGUCGCCGCGGUAAUACGGAGGGGGCUAGCGUUGUUCGGAAUUACUGGGCGUAAAGCGCACGUAGGCGGCUUGGUAAGUUGGAGGUGAAAGCCCGGAGCUCAACUCCGGAAUUGCCUUUAAGACUGCCGAGCUAGUAGGUGAGAGAGGUAAGUGGAAUUCCGAGUGUAGAGGUGAAAUUCGUAGAUAUUCGGAAGAACACCAGUGGCGAAGGCGGCUCACUGGCUCAUUCUAGACGCUGAGGUGCGAAAGCGUGGGGAGCAAACAGGAUUAGAUACCCCGGUAGUCCCUGUCUCUUAUAC